GAUGAACGCUGGCGGUGUGCCUAAUACAUGCAAGUCGAGCGAACAGACGAGGAGCUUGCUCCUCUGACGUUAGCGGCUGACGGGUGAGUAACACGUGUAUAACCUACUUCUAUGACUUGGAUAACUUCGGGAAACCGGAGCUAAUACCGGACAAUAUAUUGAACCGCAUGAUUCAAUAGUGAUUGACGCUUUUGCUGUCACUUAUAGCUGGAUCCGCGUUGCAUUAGCUAGUUGGUAAGGUAACGGCUUACCAAGGCAACGAUGCGUAGCCGACCUGAGAGGGUGAUCAGCCACACUGGAACUGAGACACGGUCCAGACUCCUACGGGAGGCAGCAGUAGGGAAUAUUCGGCAAUGGGCGAAAGCCUGACGGAGCAAUACCGCGUGAGUGAUGAAGGUCUUCGGAUCGUAAAACUCUGUUGUUGGGAAAGAACAAAUGCGGAAGUAACUAUGGACGUUUUGACGGUACCCAAACAAAAAGCCACGGCUAACUUCGUG
rnacentral:rRNA from 1 species